rnacentral:rRNA from 1 species
UCAUUAACUGAAUCCAUAGGUUAAUGAGGCGAACCGGGGGAACUGAAACAUCUAAGUACCCCGAGGAAAAGAAAUCAACCGAGAUUCCCCCAGUAGCGGCGAGCGAACGGGGAGGAGCCCAGAGCCUGAAUCAGUGUGUGUGUUAGUGGAAGCGUCUGGAAAGGCGCGCGAUACAGGGUGACAGCCCCGUACACAAAAAUGCACAUGCUGUGAGCUCGAUGAGUAGGGCGGGACACGUGGUAUCCUGUCUGAAUAUGGGGGGACCAUCCUCCAAGGCUAAAUACUCCUGACUGACCGAUAGUGAACCAGUACCGUGAGGGAAAGGCGAAAAGAACCCCGGCGAGGGGAGUGAAAAAGAACCUGAAACCGUGUACGUACAAGCAGUGGGAGCACGCUUAGGCGUGUGACUGCGUACCUUUUGUAUAAUGGGUCAGCGACUUAUAUUCUGUAGCAAGGUUAACCGAAUAGGGGAGCCGAAGGGAAACCGAGUCUUAACUGGGCGUUAAGUUGCAGGGUAUAGACCCGAAACCCGGUGAUCUAGCCAUGGGCAGGUUGAAGGUUGGGUAACACUAACUGGAGGACCGAACCGACUAAUGUUGAAAAAUUAGCGGAUGACUUGUGGCUGGGGGUGAAAGGCCAAUCAAACCGGGAGAUAGCUGGUUCUCCCCGAAAGCUAUUUAGGUAGCGCCUCGUGAACUCAUCUCCGGGGGUAGAGCACUGUUUCGGCAAGGGGGUCAUCCCGACUUACCAACCCGAUGCAAACUGCGAAUACCGGAGAAUGUUAUCACGGGAGACACACGGCGGGUGCUAACGUCCGUCGUGAAGAGGGAAACAACCCAGACCGCCAGCUAAGGUCCCAAAGUCAUGGUUAAGUGGGAAACGAUGUGGGAAGGCCCAGACAGCCAGGAUGUUGGCUUAGAAGCAGCCAUCAUUUAAAGAAAGCGUAAUAGCUCACUGGUCGAGUCGGCCUGCGCGGAAGAUGUAACGGGGCUAAACCAUGCACCGAAGCUGCGGCAGCGACGCUUAUGCGUUGUUGGGUAGGGGAGCGUUCUGUAAGCCUGUGAAGGUGUACUGUGAGGUAUGCUGGAGGUAUCAGAAGUGCGAAUGCUGACAUAAGUAACGAUAAAGCGGGUGAAAAGCCCGCUCGCCGGAAGACCAAGGGUUCCUGUCCAACGUUAAUCGGGGCAGGGUGAGUCGACCCCUAAGGCGAGGCCGAAAGGCGUAGUCGAUGGGAAACAGGUUAAUAUUCCUGUACUUGGUGUUACUGCGAAGGGGGGACGGAGAAGGCUAUGUUGGCCGGGCGACGGUUGUCCCGGUUUAAGCGUGUAGGCUGGUUUUCCAGGCAAAUCCGGAAAAUCAAGGCUGAGGCGUGAUGACGAGGCACUACGGUGCUGAAGCAACAAAUGCCCUGCUUCCAGGAAAAGCCUCUAAGCAUCAGGUAACAUCAAAUCGUACCCCAAACCGACACAGGUGGUCAGGUAGAGAAUACCAAGGCGCUUGAGAGAACUCGGGUGAAGGAACUAGGCAAAAUGGUGCCGUAACUUCGGGAGAAGGCACGCUGAUAUGUAGGUGAAGUCCCUCGCGGAUGGAGCUGAAAUCAGUCGAAGAUACCAGCUGGCUGCAACUGUUUAUUAAAAACACAGCACUGUGCAAACACGAAAGUGGACGUAUACGGUGUGACGCCUGCCCGGUGCCGGAAGGUUAAUUGAUGGGGUUAGCGCAAGCGAAGCUCUUGAUCGAAGCCCCGGUAAACGGCGGCCGUAACUAUAACGGUCCUAAGGUAGCGAAAUUCCUUGUCGGGUAAGUUCCGACCUGCACGAAUGGCGUAAUGAUGGCCAGGCUGUCUCCACCCGAGACUCAGUGAAAUUGAACUCGCUGUGAAGAUGCAGUGUACCCGCGGCAAGACGGAAAGACCCCGUGAACCUUUACUAUAGCUUGACACUGAACAUUGAGCCUUGAUGUGUAGGAUAGGUGGGAGGCUUUGAAGUGUGGACGCCAGUCUGCAUGGAGCCGACCUUGAAAUACCACCCUUUAAUGUUUGAUGUUCUAACGUUGACCCGUAAUCCGGGUUGCGGACAGUGUCUGGUGGGUAGUUUGACUGGGGCGGUCUCCUCCUAAAGAGUAACGGAGGAGCACGAAGGUUGGCUAAUCCUGGUCGGACAUCAGGAGGUUAGUGCAAUGGCAUAAGCCAGCUUGACUGCGAGCGUGACGGCGCGAGCAGGUGCGAAAGCAGGUCAUAGUGAUCCGGUGGUUCUGAAUGGAAGGGCCAUCGCUCAACGGAUAAAAGGUACUCCGGGGAUAACAGGCUGAUACCGCCCAAGAGUUCAUAUCGACGGCGGUGUUUGGCACCUCGAUGUCGGCUCAUCACAUCCUGGGGCUGAAGUAGGUCCCAAGGGUAUGGCUGUUCGCCAUUUAAAGUGGUACGCGAGCUGGGUUUAGAACGUCGUGAGACAGUUCGGUCCCUAUCUGCCGUGGGCGCUGGAGAACUGAGGGGGGCUGCUCCUAGUACGAGAGGACCGGAGUGGACGCAUCACUGGUGUUCGGGUUGUCAUGCCAAUGGCACUGCCCGGUAGCUAAAUGCGGAAGAGAUAAGUGCUGAAAGCAUCUAAGCACGAAACUUGCCCCGAGAUGAGUUCUCCCUGACUCCUUGAGAGUCCUGAAGGAACGUUGAAGACGACGACGUUGAUAGGCCGGGUGUGUAAGCGCAGCGAUGCGUUGAGCUAACCGGUACUAAUGAACCGUGAGGCUUAACCUU